rnacentral:rRNA from 1 species
AUUGAACGCUGGCGGCAUGCCUUACACAUGCAAGUCGAACGGAUUCAAGGGGCUUGCUCCUUGAGUUAGUGGCGAACGGGUGAGUAAAGCAUCGGAACGUACCCAGUCGUGGGGGAUAACGUAGCGAAAGUUACGCUAAUACCGCAUACGAUCUGAGGAUGAAAGCGGGGGACCUUCGGGCCUCGCGCGAUUGGAGCGGCCGAUGUCGGAUUAGCUAGUUGGUGAGGUAAGGGCGCACCAAGGCGACGAUCCGUCGCUGGUCUGAGAGGGUGAUCAGCCACACUGGGACUGAGACACUGCCCAGACUCCUACGGGAGGCAGCAGUUGGGAAUUUUUGACAAUGGGCGAAAGCCUGAUCCAGCCAUGCCGCGUGAGUGAAGAAGGCCUUAGGGUUGUAAAGCUCUUUCAGACGGAAAGAAAUGGCUUCGGUGAAUAUCCGAGGUCGAUGACGGUACCGUAAGAAGAAGCACCGGCUAACUACGUGCCAGCCGCCGCGGUAA